rnacentral:rRNA from 1 species
GACGAACGCUGGCGGCGUGCUUAACACAUGCAAGUCGAGCGGUAAGGCCCCUUCGGGGGUACACGAGCGGCGAACGGGUGAGUAACACGUGAGCAAUCUGCCCAUCACAUCGGGAUAACU